rnacentral:rRNA from 1 species
CUUGCUUUCUUUGCUGGCGACCGGCGUACGGGUGAGUAACACGUAUCCAACCUGCCCUUUACUCGGGGAUAGCCUUUCGAAAGAAAGAUUAAUACCCGAUGGCAUAGUUCUUCCGCAUGGUAGAACUAUUAAAGGAUUUCGGUCAUCGAUGGGGAUGCGUUCCAUUAGGUUGUUGGCGGGGUAACGGCCCACCAAGCCUUCGAUGGAUAGGGGUUCUGAGAGGAAGGUCCCCCACAUUGGAACUGAGACACGGUCCAAACUCCUACGGGAGGCAGCAUG